rnacentral:tRNA from 1 species
GGGCGGACGGCAACGACGGACAAGGGGUUGCGCCGGACUGUAAAUCCGGAACGGAGAAACUGUGUGGGUUCGAGUCCCUCUCCGCUCACCA